rnacentral:rRNA from 1 species
AUUGAACGCUGGCGGCAUGCCUAACACAUGCAAGUCGAACGGUAACGACGGGAGCUUGCUCCCGGGCGACGAGUGGCGGACGGGUGAGUAACACUUAGGAAUCUGCCCAGUAGUGGGGGACAACCAGGAGAAAUCCUGGCUAAUACCGCAUACGCACUACGGUGGAAAGUGGGGGACCUUCGGGCCUCACGCUAUUGGAUGAGCCUAAGUCGGAUUAGCUUGUUGGUGAGGUAAAGGCUCACCAAGGCGACGAUCCGUAGCUGGUCUGAGAGGACGAUCAGCCACACUGGGACUGAGACACGGCCCAGACUCCUACGGGAGGCAGCAGUGGGGAAUAUUGGACAAUGGGCGCAAGCCUGAUCCAGCAAUGCCGCGUGUGUGAAGAAGGCCUGCGGGUUGUAAAGCACUUUCAGUAGAGAAGAAAAGCCUCGGGUUAAUACCCCGGAGUCUUGACGUAACCUACAGAAGAAGCACCGGCUAACUCCGUG